rnacentral:snoRNA from 1 species
UAGAUCUUCUCAAAGCUCUGCCCUAACGUAGAGUUGAUGCAGCCACGAUGAGGAGGCAUAGCACCUCUCCCUGAGCGUGAGGAAAACUCGAGAAAUCGACUUUGCUUCGAUUUCUCAGUUAUCGAUGAUCGUUCAUCCCUUGUACUUAGUACGAGGGGGAUGGGAGAGGGGCUUUCUGAGUGGU